AGACUGCCCGUGAGUUCUACGAUGUAGGAGGCAGCAGUGAUUACCAAGGUUACGACGAUGAUGACUACUACUACUAUUAUGACAAAGGAGAGGAUUACGGUACAGGACAAAGUGGAUCAUUAUUCCCGGAAGAUACAGAUCGGGCUUCUUUGAGACCUCGCAGCUUUGAAUCACAUGGCUCGAAUCAGGCAGGUCCACAUCCCUUCGGGAGAGGUGUUACUGAGAACGGGAACAAUGCAGUAAUAGCCUUCCCAAGCACACCGCCCUCAGCUCUCAGACAGAGGCCUCCAAAAAGGUCUCCACCAGGAGGUGCCUUCUUCAACCCAAUCCCAGACCUUGAGGAUCCAGCUUUCGGUAUACCAGGUAAAGUAGCU